rnacentral:rRNA from 1 species
CGCAUGGUUCAAAAGUGAAAGACGGUCUUGCUGUCACUUAUCAGCAUGGAUCCGCGCUGCAUUAGCUAGUUGGUAAGGUAACGGCUUACCAAGGCAACGAUGCAUAGCCGACCUGAGAGGGUGAUCGGCCACACUGGAACUGAGACACGGUCCAGACUCCUACGGGAGGCAGCAGUAGGGAAUCUUCCGCAAUGGGCGAAAGCCUGACGGAGCAACGCCGCGUGAGUGAUGAAGGUCUUCGGAUCGUAAAACUCUGUUAUUAGGGAAGAACAUAUGUGUAAGUAACUGUGCACAUCUUGACGGUACCUAAUCAGAAAGCCACGGCUAACUACGUGCCAGCAGCCGCGGUAAUACGUAGGUGGCAAGCGUUAUCCGGAAUUAUUGGGCGUAAAGCGCGCGUAGGCGGUUUUUUAAGUCUGAUGUGAAAGCCCACGGCUCAACCGUGGAGGGUCAUUGGAAACUGGAAAACUUGAGUGCAGAAGAGGAAAGUGGAAUUCCAUGUGUAGCCGGUGAAAUGCGCAGAGAUAUGGAGGAACACCAGUGGCGAAGGCGACUUUCUGGUCUGUAACUGACGCUGAUGUGCGAAAGCGUGGGGAUCAAACAGGAUUAGAUACCCUGGUAGUCCACGCCGUAAACGAUGAGUGCUACAGUGUUAGGGGGUUUCCGCCCCUUAGUGCUGCAGCUAACGCAUUAAGCACUCCGCC